AGUGGAAGCGUCUGGAAAGGCGUGCGAUACAGGGUGACAGCCCCGUACACAAAAAUGCACAUAUUGUGAGCUCGAUGAGUAGGGCGGGACACGUGGUAUCCUGUCUGAAUAUGGGGGGACCAUCCUCCAAGGCUAAAUACUCCUGACUGACCGAUAGUGAACCAGUACCGUGAGGGAAAGGCGAAAAGAACCCCGGCGAGGGGAGUGAAAAAGAACCUGAAACCGUGUACGUACAAGCAGUGGGAGCACGCUUAGGCGUGUGACUGCGUACCUUUUGUAUAAUGGGUCAGCGACUUAUAUUCUGUAGCAAGGUUAACCGAAUAGGGGAGCCGAAGGGAAACCGAGUCUUAACUGGGCGUUAAGUUGCAGGGUAUAGACCCGAAACCCGGUGAUCUAGCCAUGGGCAGGUUGAAGGUUGGGUAACACUAACUGGAGGACCGAACCGACUAAUGUUGAAAAAUUAGCGGAUGACUUGUGGCUGGGGGUGAAAGGCCAAUCAAACCGGGAGAUAGCUGGUUCUCCCCGAAAGCUAUUUAGGUAGCGCCUCGUGAAUUCAUCUCCGGGGGUAGAGCACUGUUUCGGCAAGGGGGUCAUCCCGACUUACCAACCCGAUGCAAACUGCGAAUACCGGAGAAUGUUAUCACGGGAGACACACGGCGGGUGCUAACGUCCGUCGUGAAGAGGGAAACAACCCAGACCGCCAGCUAAGGUCCCAAAGUCAUGGUUAAGUGGGAAACGAUGUGGGAAGGCCCAGACAGCCAGGAUGUUGGCUUAGAAGCAGCCAUCAUUUAAAGAAAGCGUAAUAGCUCACUGGUCGAGUCGGCCUGCGCGGAAGAUGUAACGGGGCUAAACCAUGCAC
rnacentral:rRNA from 1 species